CCGAAGUAGCUCAGUGGGUAGAGCAUCAGAUUAACACUCUGACUGUCACGGGUUCGAAUCCCGUCACGCA
rnacentral:tRNA from 1 species